rnacentral:rRNA from 1 species
AUUGAACGCUGGCGGCAGGCCUAACACAUGCAAGUCGAACGAGUGGCGGACGGGUGAGUAAUGUCUGGGACACUGCCCGAUGGAGGGGGAUCACUACUGGACACGGUAGCUAAUACCGCAUACUCUCGGCUGUGCCCAGAUGGGAUUAGCUAGUAGGUGGGGGAACGGCUCCCCUAGGCGACGAUCCCUAGCUGGUUGGAGAGGAUGACCAGCCACACUGGAACUGAGACACGGUCCAGACGCAUACGGGAGGAAGCAGUGGGGAAUAUUGCACAAUGGGCGCAAGCCUGAUGCAGCCAUGCCGCGUGUAUGAAGAAGGCCUUCGGGUUGUAAAGUACGUUCAGCGAGGAGGCGUUACUCGCAGAAGAAGCACCGGCUAACUCCGUGCCAGCAGCCGCGGUAAUUC